CCUACGGGAGGCAGCAGUGGGGAAUUUUGGACAAUGGGCGCAAGCCUGAUCCAGCAAUGCCGCGUGCAGGAUGAAGGCCUUCGGGUUGUAAACUGCUUUUGUACGGAACGAAACGGCUCUUUCUAAUAAAGAGAGCUAAUGACGGUACCGUAAGAAUAAGCACCGGCUAACUACGUGCCAGCAGCCGCGGUAAUACGUAGGGUGCGAGCGUUAAUCGGAAUUACUGGGCGUAAAGCGUGCGCAGGCGGUUAUAUAAGACAGAUGUGAAAUCCCCGGGCUCAACCUGGGACCUGCAUUUGUGACUGUAUAGCUAGAGUACGGUAGAGGGGGAUGGAAUUCCGCGUGUAGCAGUGAAAUGCGUAGAUAUGCGGAGGAACACCGAUGGCGAAGGCAAUCCCCUGGACCUGUACUGACGCUCAUGCACGAAAGCGUGGGGAGCAAACAGGAUUAGAUACCCUGGUAGUCCACGCCCUAAACGAUGUCAACUGGUUGUUGGGUCUUCACUGACUCAGUAACGAAGCUAACGCGUGAAGUUGACCGCCUGGGGAGUCGGCCGCAAGGUCGAAACUCAAAUGAAUUGACGGCUGAGAGNGCGAGCGACGACGAGGGAGGAGG
rnacentral:rRNA from 1 species